rnacentral:lncRNA from 1 species
AUGAGUCAAUACAAUAUAGCAUAAACGUUACACAAUAGUUUUCAAGAAUGCAAUAAUUUUAAGAACAAGAGCAUACAAGAAUUCAAAGCAGUAAUAUAAAGCUCAAUUGAAUAAGAAAGCUAAAGGAUAUCAAUUUCCAAAGGAAUGAAACCAGAAUAUUGGAAAUCGACCAAAGCUCGAUUUCUGACAAAAUAUAAGAGGCACAUUGAACAAAUGAUUCAAACUAUCAAUCGUGCUCCAAUUUACUCAGAAAUAUAUCAUUGGAUUAUACUUUCAGAUAAGACAUGCUUCAUAUGAAUUGAACU